UAUCUGUAUAUAUACAUGUGUAUGUAUAUAUACAUAUAUAUAUUAAUUUUUGAUAAAAGUGAUAGCAUGCUCACUAUUUUACUCUAUCAUAUUUAACCAAUAUAUAUAGGAUUUUCAUUCUGUGCAGCGGGUGCAUGCGCGUUUCUCUUCUGAGAAAAACUAUGAAAAAGAUUUUUUUUUCUUUUUUUUUUCCUUUUCUAGUUUUUAAUAAACGUCGCUGAUAGACUGGGCCGGUGCCCUUGGCUGUGGUCGUGCUAAAACAGUAGAUCCCGGGGGGGGGGGUUUUUUAAGUAAUUUUUUAUAUUAGGAUGCCUGCCAUACCUUUGUGGUGCGCGCAGAGGAGCAAGUUUAUUUUCCUUUUUCUUGACUUAAUUUCUCUUUUCUUUUAAGUCUCCUCUAUAUAUUUUGUCCCUAUCUACUAUCUAGCGAAACAACAGCCGGGCUUGGAAGCGGGGAAAGAAGACCCUGUUGAGCUUGAUUCUAGUCUGACUCUGUGAAGAGACAUGAGAGGUGUAGCAUAAGUGGGAGGCCGUGAACGUUCGCGGUUGUGUCGUGCCGUCAGUGAAAUACCACUACUUUCACCGUUUCUUUACUUACUCGGUGAAGCGGAAAGCGGACCAUGAGUGUCCACGCUUCUAGCACUAAGUGCAAGGCCCUUCGUUGGCCCGCACGAUCUGUUCCGAGGACAGUGUCAGGCGGGUAGUUUGACUGGGGCGGUACAUCUGUCAAAUGGUAACGCAGGUGUCCUAAGGCGAGCUCAGCGAGGACAGAAACCUCGCGUAGAGCAAGAGGGCAAAUGCUUGCUUGAUCUUGAUUUUCAGUACGAUUACAGACCGCGAAAGCGGGGCCUCUCGACCCUUUUGACUUUAAGAGUUUUAAGCAAGAGGUGUCAGAAAAGUUACCACAGGGAUAACUGGCUUGUGGCGGCCA
rnacentral:ncRNA from 1 species